AUUGAACGCUGGCGGCAGGCCUAACACAUGCAAGUCGAGCGAGCGGCGGACGGGUGAGUAAUGUAUGGGGAACUGCCCGAUAGAGGGGGAUAACUACUGGAAACGGUGGCUAAUACCGCAUACUAUCGGAUGAACCCAUAUGGGAUUAGCUAGUAGGUUGGGUAACGGCUCACCUAGGCGACGAUCCCUAGCUGGUCUGAGAGGAUGAUCAGCCACACUGGAACUGAGACACGGCCCAGACUCCUACGGGAGGCAGCAGUGGGGAAUAUUGCACAAUGGGCGCAAGCCUGAUGCAGCCAUGCCGCGUGUAUGAAGAAGGCCUUCGGGUUGUAAAGUACUUUCAGCGAGGAGGCGUUACUCGCAGAAGAAGCACCGGCUAACUCCGUGCCAGCAGCCGCGGUAAUUC
rnacentral:rRNA from 1 species